UUAUAUAAAAUUAAAUAUUAAAAGUCCUAACCAAACAAUAAAAUAAAAAAUUUCAACCUACCCGUUUCAUUUAAGAAGCUGAAUUCAAACGAAAUGCCGGGGAGCGAUUAGGGAGUGAAAUUGCCAUCGCCAGACUACUCCGUCCUCAGCCGAACCAAAUGAUCUGCUACUUCGCGCGCAGGUCCCUCCACGUGUCCCGAACACCCCACUGGAAGCUCCGGGACGAGUACAAGCUCACCCGCCCCCAGUUACACGACCGCAUAUCCCGCCUCCUCCUCCUCCAGCGCUACGACGCCCUUCACCAGCUCUCCUUUGACUUCUCCGACCGCCUCCUCAGCACCGUCCUCCGCCAACUGAAGCUCAACCCCGCCGCCUGCUUAGCCUUUUUCAAAUUGGCUUCCAAGCAGCACAAGUUCAGGCCCAACCUCAAGUCUUACUGUAUGAUUGUUCAUAUCUUGUCCAGAGCUGGAAUGCACGACCAAACCAGAGCGUAUUUGAACGAGUUGGUCCGUCUCUGCAACAACCAUUGUUCAGCAUUCGUGGUCUGGGAUGAGCUUGUUCGCGUUUACAGGGAAUUUACGUUUUCUCCAACGGUUUUCGACAUGGUUCUCAAGGUGUUUGCUGAGAAGGGCAUGACCAAGUGUGCACUUCAUGUGUUUGAUAAUAUGGGUAAGUGCGGUCGAGUUCCUAGUUUGAGGUCUUGUAAUUCAUUGUUGAGUAAUUUGGUCAGAAACGGUGAAUGUUUCAAUGCAUUGCUUGUGUAUGAGCAGAUAAUUAGGUUGGGGAUUGUUCCCGAUGUUUAUACCUGUUCGAUAAUGGUGAAUGCGUAUUGUAAGGAGGGGAGGCUGAGUAGAGCGGCGGAGUUUGUCAAAGAGAUGGAAAGUUUGGGUUUUGAAUUAAAUGUGGUGACUUACAAUAGUUUGAUUAAUGGGUACAUCAGUUCGGGAGAUGUUGAAGGAGCCCGAUUGGUGUUGGGGUUGAUGUCUGAGAAAGGAAUUAAGAGAAAUGUGGUGAGUUAUACACUGUUGAUUAAGGGUUACUGCAAGCAGUGUAAGAUGGAGGAAGCGGAGAAGGUGCUUCGAGGUAUGAAGGAGGAGGAGGGGGACGAGUUUGUGGUUGUGGAUGAACUUGCUUAUGGCGUCUUGUUAGAUGGGUAUUGUAAAGCUGGCAGAAUUGAUGAUGCUAUUAGGAUUCGGGAUGAGAUGUUGACCAUGGGUUUAAGUAUGAAUAUUUUCAUUUGCAACUCCUUGAUCAAUGGGUACUGCAAGGUCGGUCAAGUUCGUGACGCGGAGGGAGUGUUGUUGCGGAUGAGAUAUUGGAACUUAAACCCUGAUUCUUAUAGUUAUAAUACCCUUAUGGAUGGGUAUUGUAAGAAAGGUCAGACAAGUGAUGCAUUGAAGCUUUUUGAUGAGAUGCUUCAGGAAGGAAUCCAUCACACUGUUAUAACUUAUAAUACGCUUCUCAAGGGUUUAUGUCAAGCGGGUGCUUUUGAUGAUGCCUUGCAUCUUUGGCAUCUAAUGUUGAAAAGAGGGUUGGCUCCUGACGAGGUUAGCUAUUGUUCUCUGCUUGAUGGGGUUUUGAAGAAGGAAGAUCUUGAUGGGGCUAUAACUCUGUGGAAAGAUAUUCUAGCAAAGGGUUUUACCAAAAGUAAGUUUGCUUUCAAUACAAUGAUUAAUGGGUUAUGCAAGAUGGGAAAAAUGGUUGAAGCGGAAGAGGUUUUCGAAAAGAUGAAGGAGCUAGGAUGUUUACCUGAUGAGAUGACUUAUAGAACCCUGAGUGAUGGGUACUGUAAAAUUGGGAACGUUGAAGAAGCUUUCAAAGUUAAGAGUUUGAUGGAAAGGCAAGCAAUACUUCCUUCCAUUGAAAUGUACAAUUCUCUCAUCAAUGGUGUCUUUAUGUCCAGGAAAUUAAGUAAAGUGAAUGGUCUUCUUGCUGAGAUGCAGACAAGGGGAUUAACCCCGGAUAUUGUUACAUAUGGAGCCCUGAUCACUGGUUGGUGCAAUGAAGGGAUGCUGGAUAAAGCUUUGAGUUCAUAUUUUGAGAUGAUUGACAAAGGGUUCACCACCAAUUUAAUUAUUUGCAGCAAAGUUGUCAGUACUCUGUAUAGGCUUGGUAGGAUUGAUGAAGGAAAUAGUCUGUUGCAGAAGCUAUUGGAUUUUGAUUUUUUUUCAGAUCAGCAAUGUUUUUCGAAGCUUUGCAAAGUUGGCAGUAGAAAUCAAGAAAUUCAAAAAUUUGCAGAUUCUCUUGAUGAAAGUGCUGAAAGUUUCUCUCUGUCCAACCCGGUUGUAUACAAUAUUGCUAUCUUGGGGCUCUGCAGAUCAGGGAAAGUUGCUGAUGCAAGGAAAUUAAUAUCGUCAUUAUUGCUCAGUGGUAUUUCUCCAGACAACUUUACUUAUUGCACCCUAAUCAAUGCCACGGCUGCUGCUGGUAAUGUGACUGAGGCUUUCAACUUACGAGAUGAAAUGCUGAAAGGGGAUCUUGUUCCUAACAUUACCACAUAUAAUGCUCUUAUAAAUGGCUUGUCCAAAUCAGGAAAUUUGGAUAGAGCACAGAGGCUUUUCCAUAAACUUAACCGAAAGAAGUUAGUUCCUAAUGAUGUUACCUACAAUAUAAUGAUUGGUGGAUACAGCAGAAUUGGAAAUACUGUGGAAGCGUUUAAAUUUUGGAAUGAGAUGAUUCGAAAAGGGAUUGCUCCCUCUGUUAUCACUUACUCUGCAUUGAUCAAUGGUCUUUAUAAGCAAGGAAAUUUGGAAGAAUCUGUGAAGCUUUUGAGUCAACUGAUCAAGGUGGGAGUGCAGCAUAACCUUGUUAAUUACAUACUCCAGUUUGGUUCAAAGCAUUGAAUGAAGGGUGAGGGUAAGAUAUUAAACUUAAACAUACGAUGUGUCAUAGCCGCUCCUCUGUGUUAUUUCUCACCAAAGAAGCAUUUAUUAGCCUUAAAGUACUGAAGGACAAAUAAAAAAUAUAUACAACUGGAUCGGUGGUGUUUUGUCUUCAAGUUCAUGGAAUAUUUAGACUCCUCAUCUGUUGGAAUUUAGAAUAAAAACAGCUGCACAGGUACAAAGAAUUUGGAAUUUGGCUCUUAGUGUCAGCUCUGAGUUGUCAAGGUUGAGAUGGUGCCUUGUGUUCUUGGGUUGGACCAGUCAUCAUUUCAGCUUCAGUUUCAGGCACAAGGCUAAGGUAGCUAGAAUUGCAAUCUCAACCUUCACUUGUUUCUCUGCGAAGGUUGCCAAUAAUGAUAAAGCAGAGUCUAGACUAGUGAAAGAGAAAAACGUAUCGGUGAUUCUUUUGGCUUGAGGGAAGGGCAGGAUGAGGGUAAGUCUUGUUGGAUACCAUGUUUUUACCUCCCUAUAUUCCCCAUUUGAUCAUCAAAUUCUCAUCUUCAUGUACAUUUGCCUGUGUAUGAAUGGAAUAUGAAUUGAAAUGCUAUAUCAUCUUUAACUACGGCUUUUUUUGUUAAUUCCAAGUCUACCAGAUGACAAUGCUUUUUUAUAUGUUUGUGCAACUAGGCCAGCAUGCCAAAGCAAUAUCUUCCGUUGUUAGGUCAGCCAAGUACAUUGUGUACUAUGUGUUUGAUGAGUUCCUUAUGGAUUAUGGUUUAGGCGGUGCUACUUAUCUCGACAUAUCACUGAUUGAAUUUUUUUUGGUCAAACGAUAGAUUUUAUUAGAUUAGCCACCAACGGGGUUUAAACCCAUGCCUUCGUGCAAGGGCUCAACACCUUUCCACCAUUGUGGUAAAGGGCCACUUGCACUGUUUGAAAAUAUUGAAUACAUGUUAAUAGUCGGACGUCAUGAAAUUUUGACCUCAAUAUACCACUACUGAUCUUUAACUUUUUUCUUAUACUACUUGUUAGACCCUCUCUACUUGUUUCUCAAUUGUACAGUAAAAGUAACCUUGUAUUUCAGAAAUGACUACAAUAAUAGCCUUUCUCCUCUUACAAGAAUCCUAUUUAUAGUAACUAAGAAAAUACUCAGCUACUAAGUAAACAGAAUACUCAUCUUCUUGGUACAGAUGCAGAGGCAGUGAUUAGGGUGGUUAAGAAUCUGAGGGUGUGCUGGGAUCACCAUGCAGCCCUCAAUAUGAGGGAUAAUAACAGGUUCCACUGUUGCAGUGAUGGGGUAUGUUCUUGCAGAGACUAUUGGUAAUGGGUUUCGUUAAUUUGUCAUUUUCAUGCUAAUGAGGACACUGACAAACCAAAUUGCUAAUGCUCUGGGCAACUAUGCCAACAUGGCAACAUGCCAAAGCAAUAUCUUUGGCUUUUCGGCCAGCCUAUUGCAUUGUACAGGUAGAUUACUGCACUCUCAUUCUCAGCAACCUAAUUGGGGAAUUUUUCUGAUUUAGGAGAGAAGCUUUGAUACCAAGUAAGUUGUCCAAUUAGUUGUGAACACCAUGUAUUAGAUUGUCUUUAGAGUGUACAAUGCUUUUUAGUCAUAUCCCUUGAGAAUUGAGAUGGAUGGAUACUGUUUUGAAUUGGAUGAAUAAUGUUAAAACAAGGAUUAUAAAGUGAAUGAAACUUUAUGCUUUAGACAUGUUUUGCUCUCUUGCCUUGCCCUGCCCUCCUUGUAAAUGCAUUGGCUCUUGGCUUGGACAUGUUUUGUAUACUGGGUGUAGUGAUGCAGGAGAAGUUUAAACUAAAUGGUUGGUCAUGUAAUGUUGUGACACCCAUACCUAAGAUCCAGAAGGAAGUUAAAUUCACAGUACCAGGGAAGGAGGGAAGGAAAGACGAAAUUAUUUCUUUUUCUAUCGUGAGUCGAGAAUAAUAAGAAAGUCACCAUAAUUAUACACAACAGGAGUGUCUAUCAUUUGUGAAGGUCUCUCUGUUGUUGCCCAAGGUUCAAUCUAUCUGAUUUAAAAUUAUUAUUAAGUCUCAGCAGAAGUGCUUUUCCGGAUGUUGCUGGAAGCAGUGUGCUGAUGCUAUUUCAGAAAUGUUGCACUGCCCUCUUAUAUAUGAUUUCUCUCUUUCUUCA